rnacentral:rRNA from 1 species
AAGAAGGGGGGGAUCUUCGGACCUCUCGCUAAUAGAUGAGCCUAGGCCGGAUUAGCUAGUUGGUAGGGUAAAGGCCUACCAAGGCGACGAUCGGUAACUGGUCUGAGAGGAUGAUCAGUCACACUGGAACUGAGACACGGUCCAGACUCCUACGGGAGGCAGCAGUAGGGAAUAUUGGACAAUGGGGGCAACCCUGAUCCAGCGACGCCGCGUGUGUGAAGAAGGCCUGCGGGUUGUAAAGCACUUUUAGUGGGGAGGAAGGUCUGCGACCUAACACGUCGUGGAAUUGACUUAACCCACAGAAAAAGCACCGGCUAACUCUGUG